rnacentral:misc_RNA from 1 species
UUACCUUACGCUAUCCUACUCUACUCGAUCCCUGUCGUGACGGUAGACCUUCGCGGGAUAUCACGAGGGAACGUGGCGUUACCCGCCGUGAAGGGUUGAUCGAUCCACCGGUUGCGCGCGCGCUCGUCGCAUGCGCGGAACUGACCUGCCGACACGCUGCAGCGAGUUUUGCACGAGCGAGAGAAAACUGUCUCCGAGGCUGAUAACUCGUCAGGCCUCAGAUAGAUAUCCGUAAAUAAACGCGCACAAGAUUCUUACCUUUUUUUUCUCCCUCGGGUCACUCUGACGUGUCCCUCGCGCGCGGCGGGAGAUACUCGCGGGCGUGGUUGCGCGAGCGAGCGUGUGUCGUCCGUCAGGACGUACCGCGUCGAUGAUACCAUCACCGACGGCGGCGGAUGUACGGUGAACAUCGUCAACCCGAAUCGGCCGAUUACGCCAUCAGACUGCCGUCAAGCGGGGAAGUCUGUCUCGCGUGCCAGCACACAUCAAUGGUUCAGCUGGGAUGCCGGCCAUGGAAUCUCAGUCUGACGAGCGUGAUCAUCUUGGCGCUGUCGAACAUGCUGCUAACAUUCUUACUGUUACAAUCGGAAACUUGUGUGCCGGAGACCAUCCCACGAAAAGUGAUGGAGGUGAGCGCGGUCACCGAGUGGAAUCUCGGUACCCUCGUCAAGCAGCAGGAACAACAGUCAGAAUGUAUUACGCAGGAUUAUCAACCGACGUCACCUGACAGUAACAAUCUGCAGCUGGAUAUCAAGCUUGGUAGAUGGGACGCACGACGGAUAUUUCGAACGUUUGAUUCGGUGCUAGUCGGUAGCAAAUUCACCGAGUUGUCGCAGACCUACCGGGUGUGUUUGGCUACCCAGACUUCCGUGGAAAAGUUACAUUCGUUGGUGCAAGUCGCUCUGCACUGGACCGGACCGAUGUCCGUGGCGCUUUACGCUGCCGGUGACGAAGAGUUUGAGGUGUUGCAACGUUACCUGGUGUACCUGAGAAAAUGCUACGAGUCCAUCAGAGAGAGAGUGAUCUUCUCUCUGGCUGUACCGAGGAUGCGACCGCCUAAGAAACAGCCGCGCGUCUUUGAGCUACCCGAUAUUAUUGAUUGUGCCAAACCGGAAGCCACUCUGAACGAGUUCGCGAGCCACAUAUCCAGCGAGCAGACCAAUUGGCGGAUACGAAACGUUUAUCCGCAGAAUCAUAUGCGUAACUUAGCGCGCAAGAACUGCCAGACGGACUAUGUGUUUCUGACAGACGUUGAUAUCAUACCGAGCUUCAAUCUGUCGGUCGCGCUCGAUGAGUUCCUCAGAAACGACAACUGUGAUAAGUGCGCCUACGUAAUACCUACAUAUGAGUUGGAUACGCGUAUGAGAUUCCCCCAGAACAAGACGGAACUCAUCAGGCUUGCGAGGAAAGGUUUAGCUAGACCCUUUCAUCAAAAAGUCUUUAUACAUAAUCAAUUCGCCACAAACUUUACAAGGUGGCUACAGGACGUGUCGCCGACCCAUAAAUAUCAUGAAAACGUAAGGACUGGUAAGGUCUACGUUAGUCAUGACGUGACGAAUUUCGAAUUCCUUUACGAGCCGUUUUACGUGGCGAAAGAUAUCGCACCGUCUCACGAUGAGAGGUUUAUGGGAUACGGAUAUACGAGGAAUACCCAGGUUUACGAGAUGUACGUGACGGGUUAUCAGUUCAAAGUGCUAUCGCCUGUAUUUACGGGGCACUGGGGACUGCAGACCAGAAAGAGCAGACCCGCCUGGCGCGAGCGUCAGAACAGUGCCAACAGGAAGCAGUUUGAGACGUUCAAGAAGGAAGUAUUCGCUCGUUACAUGCGAGAUCCGCUCAAGAUGAUGAAGAACGCUAACUGACAAAAGGUCCAUCGAGAGUCUCGUUGAAUCGAGAUUUCGCCGUCAUUUACGUUCGUCUUGACACUCAACACAUCGAAGAAUCCAGAGUAGAGUUAGGCCUCUGGCUAUUGUCAGUGCUCACACCAUUUAAUGUAGUCGAUAGAUUCCAAGUGUUUCACGUUAAAAUGUAGUUAAUUCAGCUGCUGCACAUCGACUCGGUG